rnacentral:rRNA from 1 species
UCAGGACGAACGCUGGCGGCGUGCUUAACACAUGCAAGUCGAACGAUGAAGCUGGAGCUUGCUCUGGUGGAUUAGUGGCGAACGGGUGAGUAACACGUGAGCAACGUGCCCUUGACUCUGGAAUAACUUCGGGAAAUCGGAGCUAAUACUGGAUAUGAGAUGCGGCCGCAUGGUCURUGUCUGGAAAGAUUUAUCGGUUGGGGAUCGGCUCACGGCCUAUCAGCUUGUUGGUGAGGUAAUGGCUCACCAAGGCGACGACGGGUAGCCGGCCUGAGAGGGUGACCGGCCACACUGGGACUGAGACACGGCCCAGACUCCUACGGGAGGCAGCAGUGGGGAAUAUUGCACAAUGGGCGCAAGCCUGAUGCAGCAACGCCGCGUGAGGGAUGACGGCCUUCGGGUUGUAAACCUCUUUUGGCAGGGAAGAAGCGAAAGUGACGGUACCUGCAGAAAAAGCACCGGCUAACUACGUGCCAGCAGCCGCGGUAAUACGUAGGGUGCAAGCGUUGUCCGGAAUUAUUGGGCGUAAAGAGCUCGUAGGCGGUUUGUCGCGUCUGCUGUGAAAUCCCGAGGCUCAACCUCGGGCCUGCAGUGGGUACGGGCAGACUAGAGUGCGGUAGGGGAGAUUGGAAUUCCUGGUGUAGCGGUGGAAUGCGCAGAUAUCAGGAGGAACACCGAUGGCGAAGGCAGAUCUCUGGGCCGCUAC